GACGAACGCUGGCGGCGUGCCUAAUACAUGCAGGUUGAGCGCUGAAGGUUGGUACUUGUACCAACUGGAUGAGCAGCGAACGGGUGAGUAACGCGUGGGGAAUCUGCCUUUGAGCGGGGGACAACAUUUGGAAACGAAUGCUAAUACCGCAUAAAAACUUUAAACACAAGUUUUAAGUUUGAAAGAUGCAAUUGCAUCACUCAAAGAUGAUCCCGCGUUGUAUUAGCUAGUUGGUGAGGUAAAGGCUCACCAAGGCGAUGAUACAUAGCCGACCUGAGAGGGUGGUCGGCCACAUUGGGAAUGAGAAACGGCCCAAACUACUACGGGAGGCAGCAGUAGGGAAUCUUCGGAAAUGUACGAGAGUCUGACCGAGCAACGCCGCGUGAGUGAAGAAGGUUUUCGGAUCGUAAAAAUCUGUUGGUAGAGAAGAACGUUGGUGAGAGUGGAAAGCUCAUCAAGUGACGGUAACUACCCAGAAAGGGACGGCUAACUACGUG
rnacentral:rRNA from 1 species